UGGGGAAUAUUGCACAAUGGGCGCAAGCCUGAUGCAGCCAUGCCGCGUGUAUGAAGAAGGCCUUCGGGUUGUAAAGUACUUUCAGCGGGGAGGAAGGGAGUAAAGUUAAUACCUUUGCUCAUUGACGUUACCCGCAGAAGAAGCACCGGCUAACUCCGUGCCAGCAGCCGCGGUAAUACGGAGGGUGCAAGCGUUAAUCGGAAUUACUGGGCGUAAAGCGCACGCAGGCGGUUUGUUAAGUCAGAUGUGAAAUCCCCGGGCUCAACCUGGGAACUGCAUCUGAUACUGGCAAGCUGGAGUGUCGUAGAGGGGGGUAGAAUUCCAGGUGUAGCGGUGAAAUGCGUAGAGAUCUGGAGGAAUACCGGUGGCGAAGGCGGCCCCCUGGACGAAGACUGACGCUCAGGUGCGAAAGCGUGGGGAGCAAACAGG
rnacentral:rRNA from 1 species